rnacentral:misc_RNA from 1 species
AACGCACAUUGCGCCCCCUGGUAUUCCGGGGGGCAUGCCUGUCCGAGCGUCAUUGCAACCCUCAAGCGCGGCUUGCGUGUUGGGCGUCGUCCCCCGUGGACGCGCCCGAAAGGCAGUGGCGGUACCGUGCUCCGGUGCCCGAGCGUAUGGGCUUAAAACCCGCUCUUGUGGCCCGGCCGGCGCUGGCCUCGACCCCCAACUUUUUUAGGUUGACCUCGGAUCAGGUAGGGAUACCCGCUGAACUUAA